CCUACGGGAGGCAGCAGUGAGGAAUAUUGGACAAUGGGCGCAAGCCUGAUCCAGCCAUGCCGCGUGCAGGAUGACGGUCCUAUGGAUUGUAAACUGCUUUUAUACGAGAAGAAACACUCCGACGUGUCGGAGCUUGACGGUAUCGUAAGAAUAAGGAUCGGCUAACUCCGUGCCAGCAGCCGCGGUAAUACGGAGGAUCCAAGCGUUAUCCGGAAUCAUUGGGUUUAAAGGGUCCGUAGGCGGUUUAAUAAGUCAGUGGUGAAAGCCCAUCGCUCAACGGUGGAACGGCCAUUGAUGCUGUUAAACUUGAAUUAUUAGGAAGUAACUAGAAUAUGUAGUGUAGCGGUGAAAUGCUUAGAGAUUACAUGGAAUACCAAUUGCGAAGGCAGGUUACUACUAAUUGAUUGACGCUGAUGGACGAAAGCGUGGGUAGCGAACAGGAUUAGAUACCCUGGUAGUCCACGCCGUAAACGAUGGAUACUAGCUGUUGGGAGCAAUCUCAGUGGCUAAGCGAAAGUGAUAAGUAUCCCACCUGGGGAAGUACGUUGCAGAUUGAAACUNAAGGAUUGACGG
rnacentral:rRNA from 1 species